UUUCCAGAGAUGGAUUGGUGCCUUCGGGAACUCUGAGACAGGUGCUGCAUGGCUGUCGUCAGCUCGUGUUGUGAAAUGUUGGUUAAGUCCCGCAACGAGCGCAACCCUUAUCCUUUGUUGCCAGCGAUUCGGUCGGGAACUCAAAGGAGACUGCCAGUGAUAAACUGGAGGAAGGUGGGGAUGACGUCAAGUCAUCAUGGCCCUUACGAGUAGGGCUACACACGUGCUACAAUGGCGCAUACAAAGAGAAGCGACCUCGCGAGAGCAAGCGGACCUCAUAAAGUGCGUCGUAGUCCGGAUUGGAGUCUGCAACUCGACUCCAUGAAGUCGGAAUCGCUAGUAAUCGUAGAUCAGAAUGCUACGGUGAAUACGUUCCCGGGCCUUGUACACACCGCCCGUCACACCAUGGGAGUGGGUUGCAAAAGAAGUAGGUAGCUUAACCUUCGGGAGGGCGCUUACCACUUUGUGAUUCAUGACUGGGGUGAAGUCGUAACAAGGUAGGCGUAGUGCU
rnacentral:rRNA from 1 species